rnacentral:tRNA from 1 species
GCGAGAGUGGCGAAAUUGGCAUACGCGCUAGAUUUAGGAUCUAGUGCCUUCGGGCUUGGGGGUUCGAGUCCCCCCUCUCGCA